rnacentral:rRNA from 1 species
UACGACUACAUAUCAGGCAUAUCAAUAAGCGGAGGAAAAGAAACUAACAAGGAUUCCCUUAGUAACGGCGAGUGAAGCGGGAAGAGCUCAAAUUUGAAAUCUUCAAGGUUUUACCUUGACGAAUUGUAGUUUAAAGAAGUGUUUUCUGUUGAAGUUUUGGUAAAAGUUCUUUGGAAUAGGACAUCAUAGAGGGUGAGAAUCCCGUAUUUGACCAUUAUUUUCAGCUGUGUGAUACACUUUCAAAGAGUCGGAUUGUUUGGGAAUGCAGUCCAAAAUGGGUGGUAAAUUUCAUCUAAAGCUAAAUAUUGGCGAGAGACCGAUAGCGAACAAGUACCGUGAGGGAAAGAUGAAAAGAACUUUGAAAAGAGAGUUAAACAGUACGUGAAAUUGUCAAAAGGGAAGCGUUUGACACCAGUGUUGUUUUCUCGAAAAUCAAUUAAAAAAAGUUGGAUUUUGUGUUGUAUUGACCUUAACAGCUUGCUUCACUCUUUUCCAGCUUUUUUUAAUGCACUUUUCGUUUAACAAGUCAACAUCAGUUUCUUUUGUUGUAAAAGGGUCAUUGGAAGGUGGCUUUCUCUUCGGAGAAAGUGUUUAUAGCCUUUGAUCUCUGCAAUCGGAGAGACUGAGGUCCUGCAGCGUAGAUCCUUCGGGGUUAGAUACAUUUGUGCUAAGCUACAGCUUUUCAUAGACAACUUGUUGACUAUGUUUAGUCAUGUGACUUACCCGCUUAUGCUAUUUUACCUACGCUUAGGAUGUUGAGCGCAUGUCUCUCUCU